UUUUUUAAAAGGUCAAUUUUUAAAAGAUAAAUUCCUACUGAACAUACUGAUAUGCAACAUGACUUUGUUUGCUACAUGUCAAAAUGUCGCAAACCUUAGGCUUAAAAUAAAAAUUGAUUUGUUUGAUGUUCUCCGACCGACCCGUGAAAUUUGCCCUGACCCGAUCAUUUUUUCCGCACUUGGAAAUUUUAAUUUUUUUUAUUUGUUCCCUUGAGAAUAGACAUUCUUCGAAUUAGUAUUGAACUUGAUGCCAUUUUUUUUUUUUUAUUUGGACUAGUUGUUUUACAGAAUUCUUGAUAUCAAAAUGUCCUUAGGGCGUCUUUCGGUUCUACUUUCAUUUUGAUAAUGACUAUUUGUUAAUCCGGGAACUUUUCAAACAUUAUUCUAUGUGAAUGAUCAAAUAUACCGCAUCUCAGCUCCAAAUUACCACAUUAUCUAACAACAAGAUAGAACAAGGAGCUACGAACUCCCCCGUCGAGGCCUGAUUGUAUUUAUGUACAAAAGUUUGAGAGCCAUGCAUGUUAUUUAGAUAAAAAAAAUCACGUGGGAUAGCUCACCAAAGUUAUGGCGGACCAUGAGUCGGCUCUUAAGUUGAUGGUCUAUAUUUCUGAAAAGGCACGCAUAUUAUUUUGAUAUAGGAUUAUCUAAAUGUUAUGACAAUGAGGAACCGGCUCCGGUUAUCUUUUCAUUAGGGGGCGCCACAGACAAACUCGGCCCUGAAUCGGAAUACCCUCGCGCUUUAUCUGUAGUUACCGAUCGAAGAAAAACGUAAUCAAUCUGCUGUCAAACACAUCCUUUUGAAACAUACUCGGAACUUGCUGUUGUGUGCCGUAUUGUUGUAAUAGGGGUGGUCAUCAUGUAUUUCCAUCAGACUCGUUAAGAAGAAAAGCCUGGAUUCACGCAAUUAAACGUGGUGAAACUCGUUUUCAAAGCUGUACUCCGUCAAAUUUUCCUGUUGUUUGCAGAGCACAUUUUAUAUCGGACGACUAUUUGACUGAAACUGAACAUGGAAUGACUCCUGUGCUACUGUGAUAGAGGACAGAAAGAUAUCCAGCAAACGUGUACACAUUGAAAGAAUUAUUGGACUAGCCAAAACUUUCAAAAUACUGACAAAACCUAUGAAUAGCUCUGAAACAAAGAUUUCCUGUAAAAUUAUUUAUGUCUGUUUCAUGUUGUGCAAUUUUAAGAAUUGCAUAGUGCCGUCUUAUGCAUAAUUCACCAUUAAAAAUUGAUGUGAUUAAAGAAUAAACCUUUAUUUAAUUUU